UCGGUAGAACGAGGACAUGGCGAAGAGUACAAGGCAGCCCUCGAGCGAGCUGCUGCAUUGGAAAUCCCUGAUGAAAACUUGCCACUCACCUACGGAACAUUCAGUGAAUUGGAAGAAGGUGAGAAUUCUAGCCAAUCAAUCAAAGACGCAUCGGUAACAUCAUCGACAAAACAAAGGGAUAGUUGGGAUAAAUUCAUUAAACGGUUUUUCGAUGAGGA
rnacentral:misc_RNA from 1 species